GAUGAACGCUAGCGGCAGGCUUAAUACAUGCAAGUCGUGGGGCAGCAGGACUGUAGCAAUACAGUUGCUGGCGACCGGCAAACGGGUGCGGAACACGUACGCAACUUACCCUGAACUGGGGGAUAGCCCGGGGAAACCCGGUUUAAUACCCCGUAAUCUAAUGGAGUGGCAUCACUUUAUUAUUAAAGCUCUGGCGGUUCGGGAUGGGCGUGCGGCUGAUUAGGUAGUUGGUUGAGGUAACGGCUCACCAAGCCUACUAUCAGUAACUCGUGUGUGAGCAGGACCAGUCAGACGGGCACAGGGACCCGGGCCCGACGCCUACGAGAGGCAGCAGUAAGGAAUAUAGGGCAAUGGAGGCGACUCUGACCCAGCCAUGCCGCGUGGAGGAUGAAGGCCCUGUGGGUUGUAAACUUCUUUUAUAGGGGACGAAACCUGUGUAUUCUUACGCAGUUGACGGUACCCUAGGAAUAAGCACCGGCUAACUCCGUG
rnacentral:rRNA from 1 species